GAACAACGCCGCGUGAGUGAAGAAGGUUUUCGGAUCGUAAAACUCUGUUGUUAGAGAAGACAAGGGUGAGAGUAACUGUUCAUCCCUUGACGGUAUCUAACCAGAAAGCCACGGCUAACUACGUGCCAGCAGCCGCGGUAAUAA
rnacentral:rRNA from 1 species